GAUGAACGCUGGCGGCGUGCCUAAUACAUGCAAGUCGAGCGAACAGACGAGGAGCUUGCUCCUCUGACGUUAGCGGCGGACGGGUGAGUAACACGUGGAUAACCUACCUAUAAGACUGGGAUAACUUCGGGAAACCGGAGCUAAUACCGGAUAAUAUAUUGAACCGCAUGGUUCAAUAGUGAAAGACGGUUUUGCUGUCACUUAUAGAUGGAUCCGCGCCGCAUUAGCUAGUUGGUAAGGUAACGGCUUACCAAGGCAACGAUGCGUAGCCGACCUGAGAGGGUGAUCGGCCACACUGGAACUGAGACACGGUCCAGACGCCGACGGGAGGCAGCAGUAGGGAAUCUUCCGCAAUGGGCGAAAGCCUGACGGAGCAACGCCGCGUGAGUGAUGAAGGUCUUCGGAUCGUAAAACUCUGUUAUUAGGGAAGAACAAAUGUGUAAGUAACUAUGCACGUCUUGACGGUACCUAAUCAGAAAGCCACGGCUAACUACGU
rnacentral:rRNA from 1 species